AACGAACGCUGGCGGCGUGGAUAAGACAUGCAAGUCGAACGAGGAACCAUUAAAGCUUGCUUUGGAGGUUUCUAGUGGCGCACGGGUGAGUAACACGUGAGUUACAUGCCCUGUAGCGGGGGAUAGCCCGGGGAAACCCGGAUUAAUACCCCAUGGUCCCGCAAGGGUAAAGACGGCUUCGGCUGUCGCUGCAGGAUUGGCUCGCGGCCUAUCAGCUUGUUGGCGGGGUAACGGCCCACCAAGGCUACGACGGGUAGCUGGUCUGAGAGGACGAUCAGUCACACUGGAACUGAGACACGGUCCAGACACCUACGGGUGGCAG
rnacentral:rRNA from 1 species